CUAAAAAACUGGCAGCUACCCGCUUUAAGCGGGAGGAAAGUCCGGACAGCCGAAGACAGGGUGGGCGCCGAAAGGCGUCACUCCAUGCGCCUGGUCGUAUGGAGCUAGAUAGGGCCACAGAGACAACAACUCAUCUUUAACCUAACUGGUUUGAGAUAGAGGGUGAAAAGAGGUAACCCUCCCCGCUGCAACCUCCGAAAGGUGCGUUAUUAGGUGUCUUCCCAAGCACCAAAGUUCGAGGGCCUAGAUAGAUGGCUGCUAAAACAGAAUCCGGCUUACGGGUUUUUUAGGAAC
rnacentral:RNase_P_RNA from 2 species